rnacentral:lncRNA from 1 species
AGGUGCCUCAGCCAUCAAUGGGUGAAGAAAGAAAUCUUUCCUCCCCUAUAGUUUCUGGUACCCAUUGAAGGACAGCUGAGACACCCGACUUACUCUGGAGCUAGCAGAUGAAACCCUGGGACAACUGACAAAAGCCAGCAAAAGAUAAGGAUUCUUAUCAAGGAAGAAGUUGUACUCUGAAGUUUCCUUAUCUGCCUAAAAUCUGGACACACCAAAGAAGAAAACAAUCACCCCUGAUCCCUUCCCUGAGUUUUCAUUAACUCAACUCAUAUUGCAGGAAGAAAGACUGAAGUCCUUCAACGCACCUGAGAAGACUUUUGUCACAAACCAUUGUCUGCUUGGUGGGCUCAACAGACUUUGUCCCGGGCCAUUAUAUUAAUUAACGAAGAACAUAUUGCGUGCCAGGAAAUACUCUACAUGUUGGAGACAUAUCAAAAAGUCCAUAUAUUCUGGGAAUGCUUUACUAGCACUAUUGCAUUUUAUUAUACAAUCACCUUUGUUAGGAGCUGAAUUGUGUCUCCCUAACCCAUUAAUAUGCUGAAGUCCUAACCCCUACUACCUCAGAAUGUCACUAUACUUGAAAAUAGGAUUUUUGAGGGGGUGAUUAUGGUUAAAUGAGGUCAUAGGAACACCAAUCCAAUAUGACUGGUGUUGUUAUAAGGAGAGGAGAGAUGAGGCCACCGAACACGCAGAGGGAAGACCAUGUAAAGAAGACUCAGAGAGAAGACAGCUGUCUACCAGCUGGGAGGGAGGCCUCAGGAGGAACUAACCUGUGAACACUUUGGUCUUGGCCUUCUAUCUUUCAGAACUGUGAGAAAAUAAAUUUGUUGUUUACACCACCCACU